GAGCACCUAUUGGAACAGUCCCUUGUGGUCAGGCAGUUUUUCUUCUGCGUGGGAGUAGCUGCCUUUGCUCUCCUAGGCGUCUUUCAUCCAAGGCAUCCAAAGCACUUCAUACAACCCAGUGUAUUAAGCAUGGCAACAUGUCUGCAAGUGCCAGCUACCUAUUAGUAGGACACAGUAUAAUCUUGUAGUGAGCAAGGAGAUGCUUAAAGGACAAUUUUCUCCUCUUAAGACCUAUGCAAGAAAAGUAUUUUCAGCACUGUUACAUAAUUGUAUUUCUGGAGUCAAGACACAACAACCCAGCAAACAAAUGAAGCGGCUUCACCCACCUCCUCUAGCUCUGCUCUGCUACUGACCACAGAAAGGCGGUUUGUAAUCCUUAUCAGUUAGUCCAGUCACCAUCCC